rnacentral:rRNA from 1 species
GACGUAGGGCGCAAGCGUUGUCCGGAUUUAUUGGGCGUAAAGAGCUCGUAGGCGGCUCGUUGCGUCGGCUGUGAAAACCCGCAGCUCAACUGUGGGCUUGCAGCCGAUACGGGCGGGCUGGAGUUCGGUAGGGGAGACUGGAAUUCCUGGUGUAGCGGUGAAAUGCGCAGAUAUCAGGAGGAACACCUAUUGCGAAGGCAGCUCGCUGGGACGUAACUGACGCUGAGACGCGAAAGCGUGGGGAGCAAACAGG